CUACUCCCUCUAUAUAGCCAUUGUUAGGUGCCUCCUAAGAAGAGGGAGGUGCAGGAGUCAGGAGCAGGAGAGCAAGGAUUCAUAGAUCAUUCUAAUAGAUGAUCUCUAUAAGAAGGCCAAGCCCCGGAAAGUUACAGUUGUUUAUUGAUAAAGAAGAUACCACAUUUUGUACUACACCACAACAUCGUAAAUCAUCCCUUCAGCAGCAGUCAUGAAGGUUGCAUCUUUCAACAUCCAGAAAUUUGGGAACCAUAAGCUAUCAAACCCAAACACCCUUGCUACCCUUGUGAAGAUUGUGUCUCGCUAUGACAUCAUAGUGAUUCUGGAGGUGGUGGACAAGAGAGGCACUUCAGUG